GUAGGUGGCAAGCGUUGUCCGGAAUUAUUGGGCGUAAAGCGCGCGCAGGCGGGGUCCUUUAAGUCUGAUGUGAAAGCCCACGGGCUCAACCGUGGAGGGUCAUUGGAAACUGGGGGACUUGAGUACAGAAGAGGAAAGCGGAAUUCCUAAGUGUAGCGGUGAAAUGCGUAGAGAUUUGGAGGAACACCAGUGGCGAAGGCGGCUUUCUGGUCUGUAACUGACGCUGAGGCGCGAAAGCGUGGGGAGCAAACAGGAUUAGAUACCCUGGUAGUCCACGCCGUAAACGAUGAGUGCUAAGUGUUAGGGGGUUUCCGCCCCUUAGUGCUGCAGCUAACGCAUUAAGCACUCCGCCUGGGGAGUACGGCCGCAAAGGCUG
rnacentral:rRNA from 1 species